rnacentral:rRNA from 1 species
UACAGAGGUCUCAAGCGUUGUUUCGGAUUCAUUGGGCGUUAAAGGGUGCGUAGGCGGCGCGGUAAGUCGGGUGUUGAAAUUUCGAGGCUUAACUUCGAAACUGCAUUCGAUACUGCCGUGCUAGAGGAACUUGGAGAGGACGACUGGAAUUUACGGUGAGCGGUGAAAUUGCGUAGAUAUCGUAAGGAAGACCAGUGGCGAAGCGGGUC